CGCGGUAUUUUGACUGUGCGAAGGUAGCAUAAUCAUUUGUCUUUUAAUUGAAGACUUGUAUGAAUGGCUGAACGAGAAAAUAACUGUCUCUUUAAAAAAUCUUGAACUUUACUUUUAAGUGAAAAGGCUUAAAUAACUUUAAAGGACGAUAAGACCCUAUAAAUCUUUAUAUUAUUUUUCUUAAACUUUCAAAUUAUAUUUUAAAAGAAAAAAAAGAAAAAAAAUAUUAUAUUGGGGAGAUAAAAAUAUAAUUUUUAACUGUUUUAAAUAUAAAACAAUAAUUUUUGAUUUAUUAAAAAUUGAUCCUUUUUAAAGAUUUUAAGAUUAAGUUACUUUAGGGAUAACAGCGUAAUUUUUUUUGAGAGUUCUUAUCGAAAAAAAAGUUUGCGACCUCGAUGUUGAAUUAAAAAUAUCCUUAUAAGUGCAGAAGCUAUAAAGGAAAGUCUGUUCGACUUUUAAAAUUUUACGU
rnacentral:rRNA from 1 species